CCUUGACAUACUAAGAACUUUCCAGAGAUGGAUUGGUGCCUUCGGGAACUUAGAUACAGGUGCUGCAUGGCUGUCGUCAGCUCGUGUCGUGAGAUGUUGGGUUAAGUCCCGCAACGAGCGCAACCCUUUUCCUUAUUUGCCAGCGAGUCAUGCCGGGAACUUUAAGGAUACUGCCAGUGACAAACUGGAGGAAGGCGGGGACGACGUCAAGUCAUCAUGGCCCUUACGGCCAGGGCUACACACGUGCUACAAUGGUCGGUACAAAGGGUUGCUACCUCGCGAGAGGAUGCUAAUCUCAAAAAGCCGAUCGUAGUCCGGAUCGCAGUCUGCAACUCGACUGCGUGAAGUCGGAAUCGCUAGUAAUCGCGGAUCAGAAUGCCGCGGUGAAUACGUUCCCGGGCCUUGUACACACCGCCCGUCACACCAUGGGAGUUUGUUGCACCAGAAGUAGGUAGUCUAACCGCAAGGAGGACGCUUACCACGGUGUGGCCGAUGACUGGGGUGAAGUCGUAACAAGGUAAGCGUAGAUGA
rnacentral:rRNA from 1 species